rnacentral:rRNA from 12 species
AUUCAUCAACAUAAAGUGCGAGUGCCUGAUUCCGUCCGAUCUCGGAGGCUAAGCAGGGUCGUGCCUGGUCAGUACUUCAAUGGGAGACCUCCUUGGAAGACCUGAGGGUUGUGUC